rnacentral:rRNA from 1 species
GACGAACGUUGGCGGCGUGCUUGACACAUGCAAGUCGAACGGAAAGGCCCUGCUUUUGUGGGGUGCUCGAGUGGCGAACGGGUGAGUAACACGUGAGUAACCUGCCCUUGACUUUGGGAUAACUUCAGGAAACUGGGGCUAAUACCGGAUAGGAGCUCCUGCUGCAUGGUGGGGGUUGGAAAGUUUCGGCGGUUGGGGAUGGACUCGCGGCUUAUCAGCUUGUUGGUGGGGUAGUGGCUUACCAAGGCUUUGACGGGUAGCCGGCCUGAGAGGGUGACCGGCCACAUUGGGACUGAGAUACGGCCCAGACUCCUACGGGAGGCAGCAGUGGGGAAUAUUGCACAAUGGGCGGAAGCCUGAUGCAGCAACGCCGCGUGCGGGAUGACGGCCUUCGGGUUGUAAACCGCUUUCGCCUGUGACGAAGCGUGAGUGACGGUAAUGGGUAAAGAAGCACCGGCUAACUACGUGCCAGCAGCCGCGGUGAUACGUAGGGUGCGAGCGUUGUCCGGAUUUAUUGGGCGUAAAGGGCUCGUAGGUGGUUGAUCGCGUCGGAAGUGUAAUCUUGGGGCUUAACCCUGAGCGUGCUUUCGAUACGGGUUGACUUGAGGAAGGUAGGGGAGAAUGGAAUUCCUGGUGGAGCGGUGGAAUGCGCAGAUAUCAGGAGGAACACCAGUGGCGAAGGCGGUUCUCUGGGCCUUUCCUGACGCUGAGGAGCGAAAGCGUGGGGAGCGAACAGGCUUAGAUACCCUGGUAGUCCACGCUGUAAACGGUGGGUACUAGGUGUGGGGUCCAUUCCACGGGUUCCGUGCCGUAGCUAACGCUUUAAGUACCCCGCCUGGGGAGUACGGCCGCAAGGCUAAAACUCAAAGGAAUUGACGGGGCCCCGCACAAGCGGCGGAGCAUGCGGAUUAAUUCGAUGCAACGCGUAGAACCUUACCUGGGUUUGACAUGGAUCGGGAGUGCUCAGAGAUGGGUGUGCCUCUUUUGGGGUCGGUUCACAGGUGGUGCAUGGCUGUCGUCAGCUCGUGUCGUGAGAUGUUGGGUUAAGUCCCGCAACGAGCGCAACCCUUGUUCACUGUUGCCAGCACGUUAUGGUGGGGACUCAGUGGAGACCGCCGGGGUCAACUCGGAGGAAGGUGGGGAUGACGUCAAGUCAUCAUGCCCCUUAUGUCCAGGGCUUCACGCAUGCUACAAUGGCUGGUACAGAGAGUGGCGAGCCUGUGAGGGUGAGCGAAUCUCGGAAAGCCGGUCUCAGUUCGGAUUGGGGUCUGCAACUCGACCUCAUGAAGUCGGAGUCGCUAGUAAUCGCAAAUCAGCAACGCUGCGGUGAAUACGUUCCCGGG